GAUGAACGCUGGCGGCGUGCUUAACACAUGCAAGUCGAACGAUGAAGCCCAGCCUGCUGGGCGGAUUAGUGGCGAACGGGUGAGUAACACGUGAGUAACCUGCCCUUGACUCUGGGAUAAGCCCGGGAAACUGGGUCUAAUACCGGAUAGGAGCGCCUGUCGCAUGACGGGUGCUGGAAAGAUUUUUCGGUCAUGGAUGGACUCGCGGCCUAUCAGCUUGUUGGUGAGGUAACGGCUCACCAAGGCGACGACGGGUAGCCGGCCUGAGAGGGUGACCGGCCACACUGGGACUGAGACACGGCCCAGACUCCUACGGGAGGCAGCAGUGGGGAAUAUUGCACAAUGGGCGGAAGCCUGAUGCAGCGACGCCGCGUGAGGGAUGACGGCCUUUCGGGUUGUAAACCUCCUUUCAAUAAGGGAAGAAA
rnacentral:rRNA from 1 species